rnacentral:misc_RNA from 1 species
CUGUUCAGAAGCUGAAAAAUUGCGACAUACUUUUGUGUUGCAAUUUUCCAUUUGACACUGAGUCAUAAAGUAGGACAGGUAGUAUUAAACAAAACAAACAUGAGCUGACGUGUAUUUGAUAUGUUUGUGUCAAUGAGAAGAAAGAUGUCAGGGAAGCCGUAUCCUACAGCACAACCAGGCCCUGGAUACCCACAUCAAGCCACUUACCCAGCAGGCUACCCACAGCCACAGUACCCAGCUGGAUAUCCAUAUCAGCAACCAUAUGGUCAGCCAUUGCAUCCGUCUGCCCCAUCAGCCCCAUACGCUAAUCCAAACCCUCCACCAUACCAAGAAGCACCUCCACCAUACUCUCAGUACCAGCCUGCACCUCCUCCACAAGCUAUGUAUCCACAGCAGAUGCCACCACAACAGACAGUAAUUGCACCAGGGUUGUUUGAUUCUGGUGCAAGAUUUGACGGAAUCGCCCAAUCAAGAAUCCCUCCACCACCACCAGGAGUCGCCCCAACACAAGCCCAGAUGGCAGCCAUGCAGGGACAUCAAGUUGUUGGCACCCAACAGGGUACAAGUUGGAUAUCUGGGGGAAGAAAUGAUGGGGGAUAUACAUGGGGAUUUUAACACUGAUUCUGUUAGGAGAAUUGAGUGAUGCACAACAAAAUCUAGAGCCUGUGAUAUUGUUAUCCCAGACAGACUAGACUAGGUUACCUAGAUAACAUUCUCAUCAUUCUUGUAUUCAUACAAUACUAUGGUAGUGACACUUGACAAAGAACCAUGUCAGUUCCUUCUGACUACAUUUAUUCAGUUUUAUACUAAACCAUUUCUAAGUUCAACCAAAGAAGUAUAAAAUACACAGAAUGGCAACAGGAGAUAAUCUUGCAUAAGCUCGUGUCAGCGCGUUACCUUAUUGAAGCAUUUGCUGACUUGAUCACUCAUGAUCAAAUCAACAGAUGCUUAUAUAAGUAUUACACUGGCAAUACCUGCACGUAAUAAACCGAAGCGGGUCCAAUUUUCAAACGACAACUGUUGUUUCUCAGACUUCCAAUCAUAAAUUCAUUACUUCCCCAUGUAGAAAAUACUAAUAACAUUAAAAACACCAUUAUCAUUAGAAACAAAUGAUCUGACAGAAAGUUUUUCAUGACACAAAUUUUUAUCCUUCACCGGUAAAACGAGAUGUCAUUCAGUUCCCAUGUGAUGUUGGCGAGAUUUGCUCUAUAUGCCUUUCAAGUUGCCAGUCUAUUUAUAUUUAUAGCUCUUUGGUUCAACAUAGUGUUUUUGAGAACCUGUAAUGGGGUGUCUAAAUGUGGCCAAAAUUUGUUUGUAGAAAAUCUUAAUUUAUAAUAUAUAAAUUAAAUAAUUUAUAAUAUAUGAUUUGAUGACAGAUUGUAAUGGUACUUUUUCAUUACUUUAGCUUUAUGCAUAAUGGAAUUUUAUAUAUUAAAAUUUGAAAUCAUUUGGUAAACAAUUUCAGUGGUAUUUUAGGAACUUAUUUAUUGUUAUUUUAAGAAUGUAAAGUAGCUGUUUUAGUAUAUCUUUAUGGAUUCUGAGGCUCUGGAAGCCACUUGUAGUUUUACUUUUACCCAGUUAGUAAACUGUUGUAUGUUUUAUUGUUACAUUUGAUUUACUGUUUUUGUGAAGGUAAUAGAUAAUCAGAGAAAAACAGUUUUUCAAACUUAUGUGAACAGACAAAAGAUCUGUGCAGGAUUUAUGUUAUAUAAACUCCUUGAAUUCAUUCAAGACAAUAGAUUUGAAAGUUUACUUCUAUUAAGCAUCCGUUUGCCUUAAGCAGCCAGUAAGCUAACAUCAGAGUUGGAAUUUUUGUUCUUAUUUCCACCUGUCUCAAGCAGCCACCUGGCUUAAGUAGCCAGAUGGUUUUACUACCUUGGCUGGCAGCCUCAAUACCGGUUUCGUCAGAUUUUGUAAUAUUCAUUAAUUUCAUUAAUACCGAGUUAAUUUGGUCCUAAGAUUCACUGUACAUGAAAUCAAAUUAGGUACUCUGUUUUUUAACUAUGACCAAUACUGAAUAGAUUGGUUUUGAACAUUCAUUGUACAUAAAAUAUACUAAGAAAAUUAUAAUAUUUUUUAAAAAGGAUCACUUACCUGUAUGUUGUUUUCCAUAUUAAUUUCACACUAAAUUCUAUGACACAGAGUUAAUUCAGUUAAAGGUAAUGAGAUUUUUUCAUAAACAAUCUUUUCUGUUGCAGAUUGCAUACUUGGUCAGAUAUUUAAUUCAGAACCUUUCACAUGUCUGUUGUAAAUAGAUGUAAAUUAUUUUUUUCUUGAAAUAUUAUUAAACAUUGUAUAUUAUCUAA